rnacentral:rRNA from 1 species
UGCUUAACACAUGCAAGUCGAACGGCAGCACGGUCUAGCUUGCUAGACUGGUGGCGAGUGGCGAACGGGUGAGUAACGCGUAGGAAUAUGCCUUAAAGAGGGGGAUAACAUGGGGAAACUCAUGCUAAUACCGCAUAAGUUCUGAGGAGGAAAGCUGGGGACCGCAAGGCCUGGCGCUUUAAGAUUAGCCUGCGUCCGAUUAGCUAGUUGGUAGGGUAAGGGCCUACCAAGGCGACGAUCGGUAGCUGGUCUGAGAGGAUGGCCAGCCACACUGGGACUGAGACACGGCCCAGACUCCUACGGGAGGCAGCAGUGGGGAAUAUUGGACAAUGGGGGGAACCCUGAUCCAGCAAUGCCGCGUGUGUGAAGAAGGCCUGAGGGUUGUAAAGCAC